CCCAUUAUGGCUCAGUGGUAGAGUAUCUGCCUGAGAUGCAGGAGACCCAGGUUCGAUCCCUGAGUCGGGA
rnacentral:tRNA from 1 species